rnacentral:rRNA from 1 species
UCGGGAAUAUUGCACAAUGGAGGAAACUCUGAUGCAGUGACGCCGCGUGCAGGAAGAAGGUUUUCGGAUUGUAAACUGCUUUAGAUAGGGAAGAUAAAAGACUGUACCUAUAGAAUAAGCUCCGGCUAACUACGUGCCAGCAGCCGCGGUAAUACGUAGGGAGCAAGCGUUAUCCGGAUUUAUUGGGUGUAAAGGGUGCGUAGACGGGAAUUUAAGUUAGUUGUGAAAUCCCUCGGCUUAACUGAGGAACUGCAACUAAAACUGAAUUUCUUGAGUGCGGGAGAGGAAAGUGGAAUUCCUAGUGUAGCGGUGAAAUGCGUAGAUAUUAGGAGGAACACCAGUGGCGAAGGCGACUUUCUGGACCGUAACUGACGUUGAGGCACGAAAGUGUGGGGAGCAAACAGG